GAUGAACGCUGGCGGCGUGCCUAAUACAUGCAAGUCGAGCGGAAAGACGAGAGUGCUUGCACUCGCUGGCGUUAGCGGCGGGUGAGAGGGUAACACGUUGGUAACCUACCUAUGAGAAUGUGAUGAAUUCGGGAAAACUGACCGAAUACCGUCUAAUCUUUAUCUUCGCAGGUGGCAAUAGUGAAAGGCGGUUGUGGUGUCACCUGUAGAUCGACCCGCGGGUUAUUAGGUAGUUGGUGAGGUAACGGCUGACCAAGGGAACGGUACAUAGCCGACGUGAGAGGGUGAUCGGCCACACUGGGACUGAGACACGGCACAGACUCCGACGGGAGGCAGCAGUAGGGAAUCGUCGGCAAUGGACGAAAGUCUGAAGGAGCAACGCCGCGCGGGUGCAGCAGGUCUGCGGAUCGUAAAACUCUGUUGUAAGUGAAGAACGAGUACGUCAGUAGCUGAGCGUACCUUGACGGUACCUUAAGAGAAAGCAACGGCUAACUACGUG
rnacentral:rRNA from 1 species